UGCCAGCCGCCGCGGUAAUACGAAGGGUGCUAGCGUUGUUCGGAAUUACUGGGCGUAAAGAGCAUGUAGGCGGUUUGUCUAGUCAGGCGUGAAAGCCCCGGGCUCAACCUGGGAACUGCGUUUGAUACUGGCAGGCUAGAGGUUGGAAGAGGUGAGUGGAAUUCCUAGUGUAGAGGUGAAAUUCGUAGAUAUUAGGAAGAACACCAGUGGCGAAGGCGGCUCACUGGUCCGGUACUGACGCUGAGGCGCGAAAGCGUGGGGAGCAAAAAGGAUUAGAUA
rnacentral:rRNA from 1 species